CUGUACGCGUUAGAAUAUACAAUGUAUCAAAUGAUUUCGAUGCAAACGUGAAACUUGCAAGAGGCACUGUUAUGGCCAGUUUAAAUCAAGGGCAAGAGCGUCUUACACAAGGCGACGAUAUGCGUUUUUUCUCAAAAUUUCAAGAAUUGGAAGAAGGAAAAACGUACAUAAUUAUAGGCAAAGAUGGCUACAGAACCUUUGAUGACAGACAUUCGCUCCUGUAUCCAAUAAUGGGAACAACAUUAGUCAUGGAGUAUAUAAGUCCUUAGCAGUUUAGGAUAAAUAGAAGAAAAUAUAGAACACUUUAUACGAUCCAGUCCAAUUUCGAACGCCUGAUGUUAACCCGUGGUUGUCAAAACAAGUAAUAAUUUUGUCGAAUGUUUAAUUUAAACUCAAGGGUUUUCGACUAAAGAUAUAAAAGAAAGACAUUCAUUUUUGUUGUUUUUCUUCAACUAUUUCGCUAAGACAUGGUUUUUAUUCACGUAUGGUGUCUAUGAUUUUGGUAUGAGAAAUAUUGUUAACGUAAAUGUUUUUUCGAGGGAAACAUUUUCGUGGGUAAGGCUUUAUAACAAUGAAACAUAAUUAUCAAGUCGACAGUGCAAGGAGGGGUAUGAAUUUAAGCUUGUGUUGAUCAAACCCACCAAUGAAAAUAAAUCGUAAACAAAAAAGACUAAGUCUGUGACACGUUCUUUCCUGCUUUAAUGGACAAGUUUUAAGUGUUCCUCAUUCGCUAUGAUAUAAUGGUAUAUACAUGUAUUUUUUAUCAAGAAAAAGAAAAAUAUAAAUUGAAUGAGCUUUUCUUUCUGUUUUUCUUCUUUUCUUAUCUUCCACGUCUAAGGUAUUAUUUUAAUUGAUUAUGUAAGCCCUUUAAUUAGAUGACAUGUAAACAAAACAACACAAGGAGGCAAUCGUAUAAAGUUAGCCAUUUAUGUCCUCUGAUGAUGGAUAAUUUCAAACUACUUCCCCUUAAGUGCUGUCAAUUCAAGGUAAACAACAGGGCUACCUCUUUCGUCGAAGGUAUACGAUAAAUCGCUAUUUUGCUACUUCCGGCACUAAAAUCCGAUAUUAUGCACUAGCUAAAAUGGAGCGAUAGAGCGUUUUAUCGUAUACCUCCGAAAGACAAAGUUCUGUUGUCUAUUAGUAAUCGACAGCAUUUUGGGGAGUUUACUUGAAUAUUGACAUUUUUCCAAACUCAUCACUUAACUUGUAGACAUAUACAAUGUAAUAACCAGUAAAGUAAUACCAGGGCAACCUGUACACCAGUUCAGUCUGAUCAAAAUAGGUGCUGUUGGUAGCUUUAUUUUAAUAUUUAGAAAACUGAGCUAAUCUUUAAGCCAGUUUGAGUAAAAUACACCAAAGAGUGAAAAUAAU